UGAAUAUCAUAUGACUGACGGAAGUGGAGUUACCACAUGAAGUAUGAUAUUAUAGGCCGACCGUCUGGGCAAGUUUA
rnacentral:ncRNA from 2 species